AUGGGGAUAUCCUUCCGAAAGGAGGGCAAUACCGAAUAUUGUCCGGAGCCGUGAAGGGUUCCGGGGAAAGGGAGGCCUCUGAUACAAGCUUUCGCCUUAAGAUGAGCCCAUGGCCCAUCAGCUAGUUGGUAGGGUAAAGGCCUACCAAGGCUACGACGGGUCGCUGGUCUGAGAGGACGACCAGCCACACUGGCACUGAGAUACGGGCCAGACUCCUACGGGAGGCAGCAGUGAGGAAUAUUGCGCAAUGGGGGAAACCCUGACGCAGCAACGCCGCGUGUGGGGAAGAAGGCCUUCGGGUCGUAAACCACUUUUACUCGGGACGAAAAAAGGGAUAAUCAAAUAAAUAUCCCCGAUGACGGUACCGUGAGAAUAA
rnacentral:rRNA from 1 species